rnacentral:misc_RNA from 1 species
GAUGAAGAACGUAGUGAAAUGCGAUAAGUAGUGUGAAUUGCAGAAUUCCGUGAAUCAUCGAAUCUUUGAACGCACAUUGCGCCCCCUGGCAUUCCGGGGGGCAUGCCUGUCCGAGCGUCAUUUCUGCCCUCCAGCCCGGCUGGGUGUUGGGCGCUGUCCCCCCGGGGACACGCCCCAAAGGCAGUGGCGGCGCCGCGUCGGGUCCUCGAGCGUAUGGGGCUUUGUCACCCGCUCGGGACGGACUCGUCGGCGCUGGUCUUCCUCCAGGCGACCCUUCGGGGCUCGUCUUCCUUCGGUUGACCUCGGAUCAGGUAGGGUUACCCGCUGAACUUAAGCAUAUCAAUAAGCGGAGGA